UGGAGAUUGUCUCAGCCCUGGGCUCAGCUGGGAGAUAGCCAGGCGUCAGCUUGCUCUUGUUACUAAGAGCUAGUCAUCUCUAUGACUGUAUGGACAGGCUAAGCCCUUGUAUCUACUGGACUCUCUGAUGGAUUGAAAUUUUGGUAUUAAAGUACACAUUGUCGACGCCACUCAGAAACUCUACUGCACUGUAUGUGGAUUUACUGCUAUACAACAAAACGUUUGUAGCUAUGCUACAACAUAACAUUUGUAUAGCCGCUAAGUCUUAGCUAAGAUUUAAUUAUAAUUUCCUUAUAAUUAAUUAUUGUGCAUGUGUUAUCUGAAUUGCACAGUGGCUUUCUGCAAUAUGCCUCACCAUAUAUUCAUAAAAAUUGAUGCCCAUG